rnacentral:tRNA from 1 species
AUCUUUGUAGUUUAAUGGAAAAAUAUAACAUUGAAAAUGUUAAGAUAGAUUUUCGAGGAUA